GACGAACGCUGGCGGCGUGCUUAACACAUGCAAGUCGAGCGGUAAGGCCCUUUCGGGGGUACACGAGCGGCGAACGGGUGAGUAACACGUGGGUGACCUGCCCUCAGCUCUGGGAUAAGCCUGGGAAACCGGGUCUAAUACCGGAUAUGACUCCAUGACGCAUGUUGUGGGGUGGAAAGCCUUGUGCGGCUGAGGAUGGGCCCGCGGCCUAUCAGCUUGUUGGUGGGGUNAUGGCCUACCAAGGCGACGACGGGUAGCCGGCCUGA
rnacentral:rRNA from 1 species